GCGGCACGGGCGGGGCCCCCGCGCUCUCACCGCCCUGGGGUGUGGUUCCCGCCUACGGGCCGGGCGGGGCGGCGGGUUUAAGGCGCAGGCCUUCCCGACACGGCUCACUCGCGCCCUUGCCGCCGCCACCGCACCCCGCCAUGGAGCGGCCGUCGCUGCGCGCCCUGCUCCUCGGCGCCGCCGGGCUGCUGCCCCUGCUCCUGCCCCUCUCCUCUUCCUCCUCUUCGGACACCUGCGGCCCCUGCGAGCCGGCCGCCUGCCCGCCCCUGCCCCCGCUGGGCUGCCUGCUGGGCGAGACCCGCGACGCGUGCGGCUGCUGCCCGAUGUGCGCCCGCGGCGAGGGCGAGCCGUGCGGGGGCGGCGGCGCCGGCAGGGGGUACUGCGCGCCGGGCAUGGAGUGCGUGAAGAGCCGCAAGAGGCGGAAGGGUAAAGCCGGGGCAGCAGCCGGCGGUCCGGGGGUAAGCGGCGUGUGCGUGUGCAAGAGCCGCUACCCGGUGUGCGGCAGCGACGGCACCACCUACCCGAGCGGCUGCCAGCUGCGCGCCGCCAGCCAGAGGGCCGAGAGCCGCGGGGAGAAGGCCAUCACCCAGGUCAGCAAGGGCACCUGCGAGCAAGGUGGGCACGAGCGCUUCCCUCUCCAACCCUGCCCCGCUCGGCCCAGCGAAGGGCACAUCCGACGGGGCGUCCGCGGCGGCCUCGCCCCGCGCUGCUCACCGCGAUUCCCCCGCGGGCAUCCGAGGAGCCAGAUGGGAGGGAAAGAGUUGGCAGCCGCGGAAUGCCAGGAGCGGUGGGCGACGCCCCCCCCCCCUUCUCCUUUUUGGUGGUUUUGA